CUCCUCAAACAAAUGGAUAAUUGAUUCAGGUGCCACAGAUCAUAUGACAGGAUCUUAUGACGAAACGGACAUUUGGUAAAGGACAUGUAUCUGAUGGGCUCUAUAUUCUUGACGAGUGGGUACCUCGACCAGUUGCGUGUGUCAGUACUGCCUCUCCUGUUGAAGCUCAUUGUCGGUUAGGACAUCCUUCUCUACCGGUGUUGAAGAAAUUAUGUCCUCAGUUUGAUACUUUACCUUCAUUAGAUUGUGAGUCGUGUCAUUUUGCGAAGCAUCAUCGUAGUUCUUUAGGCCCAAGGAUUAAUAAACGGGCUGAGUCUUUGUUUGAGUUAGUA